ensembl:lncRNA
ACAGACUUCCUGCUGGAAGGAGCCCGCUGCUACUACCCAGCCAGACUGGCUCCCUACGCGGUGCGCGGCCCGAGAUCAGGGCCAGCUUUCACCCCCAGCUCUGCUCCGGAGCCGGCCUUAAGAGAAGUGGGUCACGGAGCUACAAAUGGAUGGAGCUUUUGCUCAAGGUCACCCAGCUGCUAAGUGUCAAGGCAGCAACUGGGUCACGCCCUCCAGCCUUUACCAGUGGACAGACAGUCAGGCCUCCGUGUUGAUGAGCAUCUCCACCUUCACACCUGGCCAGUCCCUGUGCCUGAGACCCACAGAACCCAGCCCAGCCCAAGCUGGCAGGAGAGGAGCCUGCCCUCCUCCCCGGGACACUGCCACCACCACCAACACCCCCUCCUUUCUAGGCAUCUUCUGGGAGGGGCCGGUGGGUUUGAGCGGAAGCAGAGCCAGCACAGUGGACACCGCUACUCUGAGCAUCUGUUGGCUGCAGAGGCCAGGGUUUCUCCCAGGUCACCUGUCAGUAUCACAGGGUUUCCUCCAGGACCUCAU